rnacentral:rRNA from 1 species
CGUGAGUGAAGAAGGGCUUCGGGCGUAAAGUACUUUUGUCGGGGAGGACGGGAGAGAGAGUAACUGUUCGCCAGUGACGGUAUUUAACCAGAAAGCCCCGGCUAACUACGUGCCAGCAGCCGCGGUAAUACGUAGGUGGCAAGCGUUAUCCGGAUUUAUUGGGCGUAAAGCGAGCGCAGGCGGUUUUUUAAGUCUAAUGUGAAAUCCUUCGGCUCAACCGAAGAACUGCAUUGGAAACUGGGAAACUUGAGUGCCGAAGAGGACGGUGGAACUCCAGGUGUAGCGGUGAAAUGCGUAGAGAUAUGGAAGAACACCGGUGGCGAAGGCGGCUGUCUGGUCUGUAACUGACGCUGAGGCUCGAAAGCAUGGGUAGCGAACAGGAUAGAUACCUGG